UGACAGUGAUGAAUUGAUUAGGUCUCGUUCGUCGUAAUUGGCCAAAUUGGCCUUGCCGAUCUUCCUCAUAUUCUUCUGAGUCC